rnacentral:lncRNA from 1 species
UACUCAAUCCUUACUCCGAGGUUACUCAGCCCUUUCUUCAGGGUUCUUUGGCGCUUUGUCUCUGCUCAGCCCUUACUCUGGCUUUACUCCACCCUUAUUUAGGAGCAACCUGGUGCUUUGACAUUACUCAGCCCUUACUCUGAGUCUUACUCAGCCCUUACUCGGGGUCACCCCAUGCAUGCGUGCCCUUACUCAGCCCUUACUACAGGUUUGCUCAUGGGGUUGUGGCAGGGGCCUUACUCACCCCACACUUUUGAUUAUUCGGUACUUUGUCCCUACUCAAUCCUUACUCUGAGUUUACUCAGCCCUUACUUUGGGUGUUACCCGUUAUUAUUUCACUGCUCAGCCUUUACUCCAAGUCUGCUCAGCCCUUACUAAGAUAGUAUUUGAUGCUUUGUCCGUACUCAAUCCUUACUCUGAGCUUACUCAGCCC